CUUUUAAUCAAUUGGUCGCAGGUUCGAACUCAAAGAUUCGAACCUGCAGCAGGUUUGAGUUGAGCGCAGCGAAACAACGGAGCCGCUCGCGGCGACGGCCCGAAGGGCGAGCGAAGCGAGUCAUCCUGCACGACCCACCA
rnacentral:sRNA from 1 species